CCAGCAUCGUUUUAACGUCUUUUAGAUUUGUGAAACGGCCUCAGUCGCCGCGUUAGGUCGUUUAUAACUAGUAUUUAACCUAAUACAAUGAACGGCGUUGGUGUCAUUUUAGGGGUGGAAGUUCAAGGCGUUUGUUUGAAGAUGGUGUUCACUGAGGGCUGUCACAGUCCACUGGAUAAUAACCAGAGGUUCUAGACCGGUGGGGUUUGAACCUAACGUUACAUCCAAAUGCAGCAAAUGAACUGACGUUUGUCCCCCGGUUGUUCAAAAGAUGAAACCCAACUUGUUAAAGAAAACAAAACUAUCCAGUCAAAAGAGCAAAGACAAACAGUUGCAAAAUGGUGAUAAGGAGCCCCUUCCAUCAGAUGUUGAUGCCAUCUGUGUUGGCACAGAUGCAACUGAAACAUCUAAUGAUAUGCUGAACUGUGUAAUGGACUGUUGUCCCAAAGUCACACAGAUGAGUCCAGAGCAAGGAGAGUUGGAAGCUUUGGGAGUCCUAAUGCUAUCAGAGCAACACCAGCAGCACAAUGUGAACCUGCAGCCUUGUCCUCCUGCGCUCAGAACAUUUGUUCCAAAGACAGAGCCAGAUCACUUUCCCUUAAACCAAACUAGUUUUCAGGUCAAAACUGAGCCUGGAAUUUAUGAAGUACUUCAGAGAGAGUCUACGUUGACUGUGGAAGAGAAAAAGGAGAGAUAUAAGGAAGUGAAGCUUGAGAUGCCAGAGGAAAACCUGCUGUGUAAUUCUGACCUGGAGGAAACCAUGG
ensembl:processed_transcript